AACGAACGCUGGCGGCAUGCCUAACACAUGCAAGUCGAACGUGAUCCGGAGCUUGCUCCGGUGAAAGUGGCGCACGGGUGAGUAACGCGUGGGAACCUGCCCAGAGGUAGGGAAUAACCGCGGGAAACUGCGGCUAAUACCCUAUAUUCCCUUCGGGGGAAAGAUUUAUCGCCUUUGGAUGGGCCCGCGUCGGAUUAGCUAGGUGGUGAGGUAACGGCUCACCAAGGCGACGAUCCGUAGCUGGUCUGAGAGGAUGAUCAGCCACACUGGGACUGGGACACGGCCCAGACUCCUACGGGAGGCAGCAGUGGGGAAUAUUGGACAAGGGGCGCAAGCCUGAUCCAGCAAUGCCGCGUGAGUGAUGAAGGCCUUAGGGUUGUAAAGCUCUUUCGGCGGGGAAGAUGAUGACGGUACCCGCAGAAGAAGCCCCGGCUAACUUCGUGCCAGCCGCCGCAGUAACAC
rnacentral:rRNA from 1 species